AUUGAACGCUGGCGGCAGGCUUAACACAUGCAAGUCGAACGAGUGGCGGACGGGUGAGUAAUGUCGUGGAAACUGCCUGAUGGAGGGGGAUAACGACUGGAAACGGUAGCUAAUACCGCAUACCAUCAAAUGUGCCCAGAUGGGAUUAGCUUGUGGGUGGGGUAACGGAUCACCAAGGCGACGAUCCCUAGCUGGUCUGAGAGAAUGACGGCCCGCACUGGAACGGAGACACGGUCCCAGCUCCUACGGGAGGCAGCAUUGGAGAAUAUUGAACAAUGUGCGCAAGCAUGAUGAAGCCAUGCCGCGUGUAUGGAGAAGGCCUUCGGGUUGAAAAGUACUUUCAGCGAGGAGGCGUUACCCGCAGAAGAAGCACCGGCUAACUCCGUGCCAGCAGCCGCGGUAAUAC
rnacentral:rRNA from 1 species